UGCCAUUGUAUGCAAGGGCUGUGUGGUUGGAAGAUGGAAAAGAGUUGGAAGGCACCGUCCCAUACAGUUGGAUUAAUAUGGCUGAAAAAUUACUCAGAUGGCCAGUGUCUCAAGAAUCUAAAGCUUUCAACAACCAUCUACCACCUCAGAAAAACUGGCUCAUGUUUUCUCUCAUCAAGGUUAAGAUGACAUCUGUAAGUCGUCAAGAAUGUGAAAAGUACCAUUACACAAGCCAGGAUGAUGAACCUGUUGCAAACCUAGGAAAGAGAAAGUAAAAAAAAAAACUAAAUAUGAUGACUACAUUCUGGAAACUGAUCUAUCUGAGGAAGGUGAGCAAGAGGGAGCAGAGGAAGAGAGCAGACCAAGUACAAGUAAGGUUUCGAAUAUGGUGUCAGCUCCGUUUCCAAAGCAGCCAGAGAAAGUGACGCCUUCAUAUAAUGGUUUAGAGCGUUGCAGGCUAGGUCGUUCUAGUUGUCAUGAUGGUGACAGGACCCCUCAGUCCUUUGAUUUAUAUCAUCGUAGAUGCAGCCCAGGUUCCUCUGGUUCUUGUGGUGGAACCCGAACCAUCCUGUCCUCUGAUUCAGAUCAUCGCAGAUGCAGCCCAGGUUCUCAUGGUGAUGACAGAAGGCCCCUGCCUCUUGACUGUCACAGCCGCAGCCAAAUUUGUUAUAGUUCUUAUGGUGACAGAGCCUCUCAGCCCUCUGAUGGGAAUUUGCCUCUGCCUGGCUCCAUCCUGCCUAACAUUCCGAACGUAUUUCCCAUGUCAGAGGCUUGUAAGCUAUUUACCACCCCCCCCCUCUCUCUCUCUCUCUCUUUUAUAUAAGGUGUACUGUUACUAUUUGUAAUUUCACUCAUUGUUGCAUUGAGAAUGUCUUCAUACACAUCACAUAACAUUAGCGCAGACAGAUAAUGAAUUAUUCAUUACUGUUAUGAACAUGACAAUAUUAUGUUCCACCUGAAAUAUUUUCUGUAUCUAACACUGGUAUUACAUGUCUACAAUGAUGAAUACAAACAAAUGUUCAUAAAUUUUAACUAAGGUAGGAUUUAUUGUGAUUUUUGUGGUUAGUGUUUCAGAAGCGAGUGUUGUCAAAACUUCUGGACAUACAUGAGGAGGUAAAGCGGCUUGGAAGAGCUGAGCCACCUCUGUCUGAUACACACAUAGUUAAAAUGGACAGUAUUGAUGAGUUUGAAAGGGAAGAGCAUAGACUUCAGGACAGGAAUGCAAGAGAGGUUCUGGUAAGAGUGCAGAGGCUGGAUGAGGUGUUCAGAUCAUACAUUGGAGAGCUCAGUGAAAGUCACAAUGUUGGCCCUGGUUGUUGUUGUUGUUGUUGUUGUUGUUGUUGUUGUUGUUGUUGUUGUUCCAGUGUCGGUGGAAAAAAUGUGAAAGACUGCACCCACAAAGUUCUGGACAGGCUCUUAACUAACAACCUCAUGGGCAGCUUCAACAUGAAGGGAAAGGGGGAAAAAGAAGGCCCUUGAAGACACACACUUGUAUUCUGUAAUUAAAGCUGCCGUUAUGAAAUGGGACAAAAGUGCCACUGAAGCGGAGAUCCGGAUUGCAGCAUCUGAUCACUUGAAACAUGCACCUGGAAGAAUGGGGGGUGUGGGAUAUGAUCAUUAACCCCUUUUAAGACUUAUUUAGUUAAUUUAUUUUGAAAGUAGUUCAGUAACUACAAUGAUUUAUUAUGGAACUGCAAUGACUUGUUUGUAACUGAAUUGUUUUAUACUUAAGGAGUCUAAGAGGUUAAAAUGUUGUUAUUAUUAUUAUUAUUCUCUCUCUCUGAGCUGAAAUAAAAUAAAAUUCUU